AUGGCGCGCGUGGAGAAGGUUGCCGGCGGCGAAGGGCAGGUGGAGGUGGUGGUCGGGGUGGACGGCAAGGGCGCGAUAGAGUGCCGGAUAUGCCAGGAGGAGGGGGAGGAGGCCGCCAUGGACUCCCCCUGCGCCUGCACUGGCACGCUCAAGUUCGCGCACAGGAAGUGCAUACAGAGGUGGUGCGACAAGAAGGGGAACAUCACAUGUGAAAUCUGCAACCAGGUUUACUCUCCAAACUAUGUUCUCCCUCCAACCAAGUGCUGUUCAGAUGAAAUGGGCAUGGAUCUUAGGCAAAGCUGGGUUGGACGAAUCGAUCCCCAUGAUUCCCAUUUCCUGGCGAUCGCCAUCGCGGAGCAGCAGCUGCUGAACGCUGAAUUUGAUGACUGCAUGACCUCAAAUUCGAGUGGCGCCACAUGCUGCCGGUCUAUUGCUCUAAUUUUGAUGUUCCUUCUGCUCGUGCGCCAUGUAACCGUGAUCGUGCGAGAUGUUAGCAUGCUACAAGAUGCGACGGUUCUGUUCAGCGCAAUUCUUCAGUUCGUGGGAUUCUUCCUUCCGUGUUACGUCAUAGCGCGCUUCUGCUAUGCCUUUCAACACCGGAGGCGAAGACAGCAGAGCGCUCAUGCACUCUCUCUGCAGGUUUAG
rnacentral:rRNA from 1 species